UGUUCCUACGGGAGGCAGCAGUAGGGAAUCUUCCACAAUGGACGAAAGUCUGAUGGAGCAACGCCGCGUGAGUGAAGAAGGGUUUCGGCUCGUAAAGCUCUGUUGGUAGUGGAGAAAGAUAGAGGUAGUAACUGGCCUUUAUUUGACGGUAAUUACUUAGAAAGUCACGGCUAACUACAUGUCAGCAGCCGCGGUAAUACGUAGGUGGCAAACGUUGUCCGGAUUUUUUGGG
rnacentral:rRNA from 1 species